rnacentral:rRNA from 1 species
ACGGCUCAGUAACACGCCGAUAACUUGCCCUUAAGUCUGGAAUAACCUUGGGAAACUGAGGCUAAGACCGGAUAGGAAAAUAUAUCUGGAAUGAUUUUUUUCCGAAAGGUAACGCUUAAGGAUAGGUCGGCGGCGGAUUAGGCUGUUGGUGAGGUAAUGGCUCACCAAACCGAAGAUCCGUAGGGGUCUUGAGAGAGGUAGCCCCGAGAAGGGCACUGAGAUACUGGCCCUAGCCCUACGGGGUGCAGCAGGCGCGAAACCUUUACAAUGCACGCAAGUGUGAUAAGGGAACCCAAAGUGCUUUACUUUGUAAGGCUUUUGCCAAGCGUAAAUAGUUUGGCGAAUAAGUGGUGGGCAAGACUGGUGCCAGCCGCCGCGGUAACACCAGCUCCACAAGUGGGGAUCUGCUUUAUUUGGCCUAAAGCGUCCGUAGCUGGUUGAAUAAAUCUCUUGUGAAAUUGUUUUGCUUAACAAAACAGCGUGCAGGAGAGACUGUUCGACUAGGGACCGGGAGGAGUCAGAGGUAUGCCGGGGGGAGCGGUAAAAUGCAAUAAUCCUCGGUAGACCACCCGUGGCGAAGGCGUCUGACUAGAACGGGUCCGACAGUGAGGGACGAAAGCCAGGGGAGCAAACCGGAUUAGAUACCCGAGUAGUCCUGGCCGUAAACGCUGCGAGCUAGGUGUUGCAUAUUCUUCGUGAAUAUGCAGUGUCGUAGUGAAGAUGUUAAGCUCGCCACCUGGGAAGUACGGCCGCAAGGCUGAAACUUAAAGGAAUUGGCGGGGGAGCAC